AGAGUUUGAUCCUGGCUCAGGAUGAACGCUGGCGGCGUGCUUAACACAUGCAAGUCGAGCGAAGCGUAUUAGCGGAAGUUUUCGGAUGGAAGCGGAUAUGACUUAGCGGCGGACGGGUGAGUAACGCGUGGAUAACCUGCCUCAUACAGGGGGAUAACAGUUAGAAAUGACUGCUAAUACCGCAUAAGCGCACAGGACCGCAUGGUCCGGUGUGAAAAACUCCGGUGGUAUGGGAUGGAUCCGCGUCUGAUUAGCUGGUUGGUGAGGUAACGGCCCACCAAGGCGACGAUCAGUAGCCGACCUGAGAGGGUGGCCGGCCACAUUGGGACUGAGACACGGCCCAAACUCCUACGGGAGGCAGCAGUGGGGAAUAUUGCACAAUGGGGGAAACCCUGAUGCAGCAACGCCGCGUGAGUGAAGAAGUAUUUCGGUAUGUAAAGCUCUAUCAGCAGGGAAGAAGAAAGACGGUACCUGACUAAGAAGCCCCGGCUAACUACGUGCCAGCAGCCGCGGUAAUACGUAGGGGGCAAGCGUUAUCCGGAUUUACUGGGUGUAAAGGGAGCGUAGACGGCUGUGCAAGUCUGAAGUGAAAGCCCGUGGCUCAGCCGCGGAACUGCUUUGGAAACUGUAUAGCUUGAGUACUGGAGAGGCAGGCGGAAUUCCUAGUGUAGCGGUGAAAUGCGUAGAUAUUAGGAGGAACACCAGUGGCGAAGGCGGCCUGCUGGACAGAAACUGACGUUGAGGCUCGAAAGCGUGGGGAGCAAACAGGAUUAGAUACCCUGGUAGUCCACGCGGUAAACGAUGAAUGC
rnacentral:rRNA from 1 species